rnacentral:rRNA from 1 species
CCAAUAGCGUAUAUUAAAGUUGUUGCAGUUAAAAAGCUCGUAGUUGAAUUUCGGGAUCAUCACGUCGGUCGUGCCUCCGGUACGUACUGGCAUCGUUGAUUUCUACCUUCUGACGAACCAUGAUGUCAUUAAUUUGGUGUCAUGGGGAAUCAGGACUGUUACUUUGAAAAAAUUAGAGUGUUUAAAGCAGGCACACGCUUGAAUACAUUAGCAUGGAAUAAUGAAAUAGGACGUUUGACCCUAUUUUGUUGGUUUCUAGGAUCGACGUAAUGAUUAAUAGGGAUAGUUGGGGGCAUUAGUAUUCAAUUGUCAGAGGUGAAAUUCUUGGAUUUAUUGAAGACUGACUACUGCGAAAGCAUUUGCCAAGGAUGUUUUCAUUAAUCAAGAACGAAAGUUAGGGGAUCGAAGACGAUCAGAUACCGUCGUAGUCUUAACCAUAAACUAUGCCGACUAGGGAUCGGAUGAUGUUAAUUUUUUAAUGACUCAUUCGGCGCCUUACG